rnacentral:SRP_RNA from 1 species
GCCAGGCGUGGUGGUGCACGCCUGUAAUCCCAGCUACUUGGGAGGCUGAAGCAGGAGAAUAGCUUGAACCUGGGAGGCAGAGGUUGCAGUGAGCUGAGAUCAUGCCACUGCACUCCAGCCUAGGCAACAAAGCCAGACCCUGUCUCAA